AAUAUUGGACAAUGGGGGCAACCCUGAUCCAGCCAUGCCGCGUGUGUGAAGAAGGUCUUCGGAUUGUAAAGCACUUUAAGUUGGGAGGAAGGGCUUUAGCUUAUUACCCUGAAUUUUGGACGUUACCGAACGAAUACGCACCGUCUCACUCUGUGCCAGCAGCCUCGGUAAUACAGAGGGUGCAAGCGUUACUCGGAAUUACUGGGCGUAAAGCGCGCGUAGGUGGUUCAGAAAGAUGGGUGUGAAAGCCCCGGGCUAAACCUGGGAACUGCUUUCAUACCGGCUGGGCUAGAGUACGGUAGAGGGUAGUGGAAUUGCCUGUGUAGCGGUGAAAUGCGUAGAUAUAGGAAGGAACACCAGUGGCGAAGGCGACUACCUGGACUGAUACUGACACUGAGGUGCGAAAGCGUGGGGAGCAAA
rnacentral:rRNA from 1 species